rnacentral:rRNA from 1 species
AUUUGAAAUCUGGCCCCCAGGGCCCGAGUUGUAAUUUGCAGAGGAUGCUUUUGGCGCGGUGCCUUCCGAGUUCCCUGGAACGGGACGCCAUAGAGGGUGAGAGCCCCGUCUGGUCGGACGCCUAGCCUGUGUAAAGCUCCUUCGACGAGUCGAGUAGUUUGGGAAUGCUGCUCUAAAUGGGAGGUAUAUGUCUUCUAAAGCUAAAUACCGGCCAGAGACCGAUAGCGCACAAGUAGAGUGAUCGAAAGAUGAAAAGCACUUUGAAAAGAGGGUUAAAUAGUACGUGAAAUUGUUGAAAGGGAAGCGCUUGUGACCAGACUUGGGCCCGGUGGAUCAUCCAGCGUUCUCGCUGGUGCACUCCGCCGGGUUCAGGCCAGCAUCAGUUCGCCGCGGGGGAAAAAGGCUUCGGGAACGUGGCUCCUACGGGAGUGUUAUAGCCCGUUGCAUAAUACCCUGGGGCGGACUGAGGUUCGCGCUCCGCAAGGAUGCUGGCGUAAUGGUCAUCAGCGACCCGUCUUGAAACACGGACCAAGGAGUCGUCUUCGUAUGCGAGUGUUCGGGUGUAAAACCCCUACGCGUAAUGAAAGUGAACGCA